GACGAACCGUGCGAACGUUGUUCGGAAUCACUGGGCUUAAAGGGCGCGUAGGCGGGUUCUCAAGUCCGGGGUGGAAAUCCCACAGCUCAACUGUGGAACUGCCUCGGAUACUGGGGGCCUCGAGGGUGGUAGGGGUAUGCGGAACUAUCGGUGGAGCGGUGAAAUGCGUUGAUAUCGAUAGGAACUCCGGUGGCGAAGGCGGCAUACUGGACCACAUCUGACGCUGAGGCGCGGAAAGCCAGGGGAGCAAACGGG
rnacentral:rRNA from 1 species